rnacentral:rRNA from 1 species
UACGGAGGGGGCUAGCGUUGUUCGGAAUUACUGGGCGUAAAGCGCACGUAGGCGGCUUUGUAAGUUAGAGGUGAAAGCCCGGGGCUCAACUCCGGAACUGCCUUUAAGACUGCAUCGCUUGAACAUCGGAGAGGUAAGUGGAAUUCCGAGUGUAGAGGUGAAAUUCGUAGAUAUUCGGAAGAACACCAGUGGCGAAGGCGACUUACUGGACGAUUGUUGACGCUGAGGUGCGAAAGGCGUGGGGAGCAAACAGG